rnacentral:rRNA from 1 species
UGGGGAAUUUUGGACAAUGGGCGAAAGCCUGAUCCAGCAAUGCCGCGUGUGUGAAGAAGGCCUUCGGGUUGUAAAGCACUUUUGUCCGGAAAGAAAUGGCUCUGGUUAAUACCUGGGGUCGAUGACGGUACCGGAAGAAUAAGGACCGGCUAACUACGUGCCAGCAGCCGCGGUAAUACGUAGGGUCCAAGCGUUAAUCGGAAUUACUGGGCGUAAAGCGUGCGCAGGCGGUUGUGCAAGACCGAUGUGAAAUCCCCGAGCUUAACUUGGGAAUUGCAUUGGUGACUGCACGGCUAGAGUGUGUCAGAGGGGGGUAGAAUUCCACGUGUAGCAGUGAAAUGCGUAGAGAUGUGGAGGAAUACCGAUGGCGAAGGCAGCCCCCUGGGAUAACACUGACGCUCAUGCACGAAAGCGUGGGGAGCAAACAGGAUUAGAUACCCUGGUAGUCCACGCCCUAAACGAUGUCAACUAGUUGUUGGGGAUUCAUUUCCUUAGUACGUAGCUAACGCGUGAAGUUGACCGCCUGGGGAGUACGGUCGCAAGAUUAAAAGCUUAAA